rnacentral:rRNA from 1 species
AGAACGAACGCUGGCGGCAGGCCUAAUACAUGCAAGUCGAACGCACUCUUCGGAGUGAGUGGCAGACGGGUGAGUAACGCGUGGGAACCUUCCCAAUGGUACGGAAUAACUCCGGGAAACCGGUGCUAAUACCGUAUAAGCCCCUCGGGGGAAAGAUUUAUCGCCAUUGGAUGGGCCCGCGUCGGAUUAGCUAGUUGGUAAGGUAAUGGCUUACCAAGGCUACGAUCCGUAGCUGGUCUGAGAGGAUGAUCAGCCACACUGGGACUGAGACACGGCCCAGACUCCUACGGGAGGCAGCAGUAGGGAAUCUUGGACAAUGGGCGAAAGCCUGAUCCAGCCAUGCCGCGUGAGUGAAGAAGGCCUUAGGGUUGUAAAGCUCUUUGGCGGGUACGAUAAUGACGGUACCGCAGAAUAAGCCCGGCUAACUUCGUGCCAGUAGCCGC